CUUGUCCUUGGAAGCUCAAACUGCUGUUAGGAAUCUGGGACUCCACAGCCAACAGACCAAACACCUGGACAAACAUCUCCUUACAGGGACUUUUCAAUCGCAGGUGCCCUGACCAGGACCAAACCGGCCACCUUUAACCAAUUGUGCUACCCUGCCAGGGCUAAAUGCAGACAGUGUUUUAUGCACAAAGAUUUUCAUGUCUCCUAUGAACCAAUUUUCUCUCCUUUCCUGGAUUAAAACAGAAGAAAUGCCAUAAAAACAAAUGAAGUUCUGUUACAUGCUACAGCCUGGAUGAACGUUGAAAACUGGAGCCUUCUUUCUUGUUCCUGGUAAGGCCCAAAGGACCUCGCCGAGCGGUGUGUCUGCCAAAGAAGAAAAGAGGAAGAGGGAGAAGGAGAGAGAACAACCAAACACCACUGUGUUUUGUGACCGAUGGGCUCCUCUUAGGACGAGAGAUGUUUUGCACAUUAUAAAAGGUUAUUAAAAAAUGAAAACAUACAGUGAUACUAUUUAUAAUAUUUAAAAUAUCAAAUACUUAGAAAUAAAUCUAACA